AUCCGCCAUAGUUUGAAUGGGUUGUGUCGAGAGAGAGUGCGUGAGUGUGUGGAGGUGAGUGCUUGUUGUCCGUUUGUUUCUGUGUGCGUAUGUGAAUGUGAAUGUCUGUGGAUUGGGUGUUUCGGUAAAAACCUACACAGUGAUCUUAUUUGAUCCGUCAGAGUUUGGCUCUGCUCUGAUCGGAAGUGAUAGGAAAAGCGCUCGCAAGCCCGUGAGGCGAUGAGCAGCAGGCAGUGAAACCUUCAGGGCCUCCACGGCUUCGUGUUGUGGUGAGAGGUGAUGAAUUGAUCAGAUAUACUAGCUCUGGUUGAACUUGGGAUCCGUCUCAAGUUCGACGACGAACAAUGAGUAAAGAGGCGAUUCUGAUCUGA
rnacentral:snoRNA from 1 species